GUUAGUACUGAUGCAUAUUUAUUGAACAUGUGGAUGUACUCAGCACUGUGUGAGGCACUGUCCAUACACCAGCAUCCCCACAAUGUUGCCCUGCCCACUGCUACAUCCUCAGGGAUGCAUCCCUGAGUCCUGGGCACACACAAAUGCGCCCAGGUUAUAGCUUUCUUCCUGAGGCUCCUGACUACAAAACUGGCUCCAUCUGGGGAAGCAGACACCAGAAAGCCAUGAGAGAGCAGCAGAGAGACAGAUAGAGGCACUCCAAAGGGUGAGAAGCAAAGGCCUGAGGUCUGGAUCAUUUGACUGGCACCACAAGACUCAGGUUCUGUCUAAACAUUUGCCCCUCAUCACUGCUGAGCAGAGGAGAAAGGGACUAAUAGAGCAGCUGAGGAACCGUCGAGUUCAGGGAGCUGGAAAUGCUGGCCCUGAAGCAGAAAGCCCUACCUCCAAUCCUUGCUUCAAUCUGGAGCCCUUGGCCACUGCUGGCCCACUGCAGAAGGUACAAAGCCAUCUGAGGAGCUCUUCACAGGGUCUCAGUCCAACCAUGUUGCAGCCACAUCUAAAUCAAGUCCCUUUUGUAGGGGUGGACCUUCUUCCAUAUCGAAACUCCAGUAUUGAUGGCAGGAUUGACUGACAGUGUGCACUAAGUCCCGCACAGCAUCUCUGGAUAUGUGACCCACGUGCUAUCUGUCCUCAGGACACUAUGGUGACCAGCUGCAGAGUAUGGGGUUCUAUCAGCUCAGAACGGACCAUUGGGUCUUAGCUUUGGUGUCUUGGUGAUAUGCCUGUCUGAGUCCACUGUGGUUCUGGUUCCUGGGCCAUCCUGGGGCACGCUGUUGGGUUUGGGAUGCUGAUGUGCAAUGAUGUCAGGUACAUGAUGGGAAGUGCAAAGUGAAAGGGCAUAGGAUAUGCACAUAGAAUUUUAAAAAAGCAGAGGAUUGACAGUCACCUUAGCUGGCGUCGCUGGUCCUACCAGAUCUGUGUGGUCUUCUGCAAUAUGCUAUCUGCACCAGCCUCUGGUCUACUUGCAGUUCAUCCCUUGCUUUAACCAGCACCUAUGGCGCCGGUUUCUGCCUUCUGCUCUUUGAGAAAGACAAGUCCGGUUUCUGCCUUCCACUCAUUGAGAAAAACAAGUCCUUGAGAAAAGCAAGUCCCUAUUUGGCUGUUCCUGCUUGGCCUGGUCGCUUCCGCAUAGUACAACCUAUCCGCUGUACCCACAUGGCUUGCUAGGAUUGGCUAGUGCUAGCUAUUUAAGUGUGGUUUGGGGAUUUCCCGGGGUCAGAAGAUUGUAUCAUGGUUCCUGAGUAAAUCUGCUUGAAGAUCUUCGCUGGUCGUGUCUUCCUUGCUGGUCGAGGUUGGGCGCGACACCUAUCUAUCUGACUAUGUCAGUUUGGCAUUUGAAUUUCAAAGAUCCUACAGUAAUGUUGCUCCAAGUAUCAGACAGUGAGUAAACUCUCAGUGAGGUGGAGCUGAGCAUGCAGACUCCGUGUAGAGCAAACCAUGUCUGAUGCCAGCAUGUAUCAGUUUCAGGCUAUUGCUGCUUGAGAGUUAGAGCAUGUGAACCUUGAACCUACUUAGGACUUUGAUGUUGAGUAGAAAGAAUGUUCAAAGUAGGCAGAUUUUAAAUCAGGACAAGUAUCAAAGAAAGCCUUGGCAUAAUGUGUUUGAUAGACUCCUCUGACUUCCUAGUAUGGAACUGUAGUAAACACAGCCUUUAUGACACGUUUGUGUGAGCACAAUCUGUGGCAGACCUUGCUUUAUUCCCAAGGAACCCAUACAGUGGGAAGAGCACAUCCUCAGUGAAGCACUGCAAAAGCCUUGAUCUCUUUAUGCAGGAAGAAGACUGGACUCACUUUCCUGUAUUUGACAGCACAUUUGUGUCCUAUUCAGGGAACAGAGAUGGUAUUUGGCAAAGUUGUUUGACCAAGCACAAGCUCCCAGCACGACUGACUCUGGAUCUGUGGGCUCAGAGCAGUAUUGUUGCCGAUGGAAAAAGGACUGAAGAGAGACGCACACACAUGCACCCCAGGAGCUGAGCACGGAACACUCGGGACUCACACAUCAUAAGUCGGUAAGCUCUCCCUUCCUCCACCGAGCUUCAGUUUUUCAGCCAUCUCUCCAGCUCAUGUGGAGCUCAUUGGAAAAGCACGCACAUCAAACGUUUGAAAAUAGACACCAGUGAUAUUGGGAAACAACCAGGUUCAGAAGAUCCUCUGAAAGAUCAUCUGUCCUCAAGGAAUUGAUUAAAGACUUCUAAUUGUGGAAACAGCAAGGAUGGCUGGUUAGGAAAAAAAAAAACAUACUCCUACAGAACAGGCAGGCUGAAGGAAAGAGACAAAAUAGAGGGUAACUACUCUACUGUAAGGCAAAGGACUCUUGUCUCAUGUCCAACUUAAUGGAGCUCAUCUUAAUGGACUCUGGGUAUAACUUGGGUCCUCACUCUUAGUACUUUGCCAACUGAGACAUUCCCCCAACUCUGUGUUGUCUUUUCUAUACAUCGUCAAACUGCUAUAGACCAAAGAGAAUUGAGACAUUUGUAUCUCCCUAAAUCUGGGCAAAACUAUAAAUACACUGUUGCCCUUUCCAGUGUCAGCCUCAGUCUGUGGUAGUGGUGAGCAGUGGACCUGAGUUCCCAUUAACCGUAAUGUAGAGUAGCUUCAAUGACAAGUGCAGCUGUGUACAUCAAUUUGUUUGUCCAUCACUACCACUCAGCUGGACACUUCUCAACUCAGAUGCCCAUAUAACCUCUCUUCAGAACCCAAGGCAAAGGAGCCAGUGCUCUCUAGAACAUUCUAAUUCCAUUGCAGAGGCUCAGAACAGAAUAAUAAUCAGGGAUGUGUACAAUGUAUCCAAAGCUUAGCAUGGUGAGUCAUGCCCUCAAUACCUGCUUUUCAGCCCCCCAUCCUUACCCUCUUACCAACAAUCCAGGUUUUAUUACUGGCCAUAAAAGAAAGAGGAGAAACCAGAUCUUGUGAAAUGUUUAAAUAACCUUAAAUUUUAUUUAAUAAAAAUUGCAUAAACACAACCAUAAGAUAAUGAAUAGAAAAGUUAAAUACAAACUACCACAUGUAAAAUAGGUUAUUGUAUAACUGGUAGUAUCAAGCCUAAAUACUAAAUCCCCAACUUCCACAGUGGGAAUGUUAAUAUAAUAAAAAAAAUCUUAAUUUCACAUUAAUA
rnacentral:sRNA from 1 species